GGCUGGAUGGCCGAGUGGUCUAAGGCGCUGCGUUCAGGCCGCAGUCCUCGCGGGCGUGGGUUCGAAUCCCACUUCAGUCA
rfam:Cyclospora cayetanensis strain CHN_HEN01 contig_636, whole genome shotgun sequence.